rnacentral:rRNA from 1 species
CCUACGGGUGGCAGCAGUAGGGAAUCUUCGGCAAUGGGGGCAACCCUGACCGAGCAACGCCGCGUGAGUGAAGAAGGUUUUCGGAUCGUAAAGCUCUGUUGUUAGAGAAGAAUGAUGGUGGGAGUGGAAAAUCCACCAAGUGACGGUAACUAACCAGAAAGGGACGGCUAACUACGUGCCAGCAGCCGCGGUAAUACGUAGGUCCCGAGCGUUGUCCGGAUUUAUUGGGCGUAAAGCGAGCGCAGGCGGUUUUUUAAGUCUGAAGUUAAAGGCAUUGGCUCAACCAAUGUACGCUUUGGAAACUGGAGAACUUGAGUGCAGAAGGGGAGAGUGGAAUUCCAUGUGUAGCGGUGAAAUGCGUAGAUAUAUGGAGGAACACCGGUGGCGAAAGCGGCUCUCUGGUCUGUAACUGACGCUGAGGCUCGAAAGCGU